rnacentral:rRNA from 1 species
GACGAACGCUGGCGGCGUGCCUAAUACAUGCAAGUCGAGCGGAUGGAAGGAAGCUUGCUUCCUAAAGUCAGCGGCGGACGGGUGAGUAACACGUGGGCAACCUGCCCCUAAGAUCGGGAUAACUUCGGGAAACCGGAGCUAAUACCGGAUAUGAUUAUGUCUCAUGUGAGACAUAAUGGAAAGACGGUUUCGGCUGUCACUUAGGGAUGGGCCCGCGGCGCAUUAGCUAGUUGGUGAGGUAACGGCUCACCAAGGCGACGAUGCGUAGCCGACCUGAGAGGGUGAUCGGCCACACUGGGACUGAGACACGGCCCAGACUCCUACGGAGGCAGCAGUAGGGAAUCUUCCGCAAUGGACGGAAGUCUGACGGAGCAACGCCGCGUGAGUGAAGAAGGUUUUCGGAUCGUAAAACUCUGUUGUUAGGGAAGAACAAGUACCAUAGUAACUGAUGGUACCUUGACGGUACCUAACCAGAAAGCCACGGCUAACUACGUGCCAGCAGCCGCCGUAAAAC